UAUUCUCAUUAUAUUAUGACUUUUUCUCUUAAAAUUAUGACUUUAUUCUCAUAUUAUGACUUUAUUCUCAUAUGACUUUUUUUCUCUUAAACUUCUGACUUUAUUCUCAGAAUAUUACAACUUUUUUUCUCGUCAACCGACCUCAUGUCGGGAGGUGAAGCUGUUUAAGUAGACUGAGAUGAGCUGAGAUGAGCUGAGCUCUCCAUCAGGCCUGAUUGUGAUCAGCUGUGUUUCUGGAGCCAAUUCCUCUCUCCAAAAGACAACAGACACGUGGAGAAGACAUGGAUCAUCAAACUGAAUAGAUGAAGCUGAAGACAUGAAGCAUCUUUCUCCAGGAGUCAGACAUGGAUCAUCAAACUGAAUGGAUGAAGCUGAAAACAUGAAGCACCUUUCCUCCAGCUGUCAGAGACAUGAUGUUUGACAGGUUUCCUCCUGGACAGCAUCCACAGAGCAGAACAGCCAUCGCAGCCACAUCAUCCAGAGAGAAGGCUAGAGCCAACAGAAAGGCCACCAAGGGCAUGAUGACGAACUGACAGAGCAGAGCCAGCAGCACUCCGACGGGUCUGCGGAUGUGUUCUCCCAGCUGGCUG